AUUGAACGCUGGCGGCAGGCCUAACACAUGCAAGUCGAGCGAUCGGCGGACGGGUGAGUAAUGUCUGGGAAACUGCCUGAUGGAGGGGGAUAACUACUGGAAACGGUAGCUAAUACCGCAUACCAUCGGAUGUGCCCAGAUGGGAUUAGCGGGUUGGUGGGGUAACGGCUCACCAGGGCGACGAUCCCUAGCUGGUCGGAGGGGAUGACCAGCCACACGUGAACGGGUACACGGCCCAUACUCCGACGGGAGGCAGAGGUGGGGAAUAUUGCACACUGGGGGCAAGCCUGAUGCAGCCAGGCCGCGUGUAUGAAGAGGGCCUUCGGGUUGUAAAGUACUUUCAGCGGGGAGGCGUUACCCGCAGAAGAAGCACCGGCUAACUCCGUGCCAGCAGCCGCGGUAAUAC
rnacentral:rRNA from 1 species